CACGUAGGGUGCGAGCGUUGUCCGGAAUUAUUGGGCGUAAAGAGCUCGUAGGCGGUCUGUCGCGUCGAUCGUGAAAACUUGGGGCUUAACCCUGAGCUUGCGGUCGAUACGGGCAUGACUGGAGUUCGGCAGGGGAGACUGGAAUUCCUGGUGUAGCGGUGAAAUGCGCAGAUAUCAGGAGGAACACCGGUGGCGAAGGCGGGUCUCUGGGCCGAUACUGACGCUGAGGAGCGAAAGCGUGGGGAGCAAACAGG
rnacentral:rRNA from 1 species